UCCAGCGUGUUGGAUCUCUUGGGUCCUCCUGUAGAUUAUUUUUAGAGUCUUCUAAAGUCUUCUAAAUCAUUGAGAUGAAGUCUCUUUCCUAUUUUCUGUAGCUUUACAAAAAACUACCUCCCAGACCCCGCCCCGCCCCAUAGAGUUUUUCCUCCCUUAUUUACUCAUCCUUAAAGGAAGUGACAUCUGUAGAGAGCCAGUGCUUGUUAAGAGCGAGGGUGAGCUCAUCAUCGAGGUCCGGUCCUCCUGUGUGGAGUCCUAUCCUGGUGCUCUCGGGGUAGGACAGGGUUUUUGAGGAUUAUAAUGAAUAAAACAGAACCAGAGAAGUUACGAAGCA
rnacentral:lncRNA from 1 species